ACGGUAGUAACACGUGAGUAACCUGCCCUUGACUUUGGGAUAACUUCAGGAAACUGGGGCUAAUACCGGAUAGGAGCUCCUGCUGCAUGGUGGGGGUUGGAAAGUUUCGGCGGUUGGGGAUGGACUCGCGGCUUAUCAGCUUGUUGGUGGGGUAGUGGCUUACCAAGGCUUUGACGGGUAGCCGGCCUGAGAGGGUGACCGGCCACAUUGGGACUGAGAUACGGCCCAG
rnacentral:rRNA from 1 species